UACGUAGGCAGCGAGCGUUGUUCGGAGUUACUGGGCGUAAAGGGUGUGUAGGCGGUUGUUUAAGUUUGGUGUGAAAUCUCUCGGCUCAACCGAGAAACGUCGGCCGAUACUGCCGUUCUUGAGGGAUGCAGAGGAGACUGGAAUUCCCGGUGUAGCGGUGAAAUGUGUAGAGAUCGGGAGGAACACCGGUGGCGAAGGCGGGUCUCUGGGCAUUUCCUGACGCUGAGGCGCGAAAGCGUGGGGAGCAAACGGG
rnacentral:rRNA from 1 species